GACGAACGCUGGCGGCGUGCUUAACACAUGCAAGUCGAACGGAAAGGCCCUGCUUUUGUGGGGUGCUCGAGUGGCGAACGGGUGAGUAACACGUGAGUAACCUGCCCAUGACUUUGGGAUAACUUCAGGAAACUGGGGCUAAUACCGGAUAGGAGCUCCUGCUGCAUGGUGGGGGUUGGAAAGUUUCGGCGGUUGGGGAUGGACUCGCGGCUUAUCAGCUUGUUGGUGGGGUAGUGGCUUACCAAGGCUUUGACGGGUAGCCGGCCUGAGAGGGUGACCGGCCACAUUGGGACUGAGAUACGGCCCAGACUGCUACGGGAGGCAGCAGUGGGGAAUAUUGCACAAUGGGCGGAAGCCUGAUGCAGCAACGCCGCGUGCGGGAUGACGGCCUUCGGGUUGUAAACCGCUUUCGCCUGUGACGAAGCGUGAGUGACGGUAAUGGGUAAAGAAGCACCGGCUAACUACGUG
rnacentral:rRNA from 1 species